GACAGAGGGUGCAAACGUUGUUCGGAAUUACUGGGCGUAAAGCGCACGUAGGCGGCUUUGUAAGUUAGAGGUGAAAGCCCGGGGCUCAACUCCGGAAUUGCCUUUAAGACUGCAUCGCUAGAAUUGUGGAGAGGUAAGUGGAAUUCCGAGUGUAGAGGUGAAAAUUCGUAGAUAUUCGCAAGAACACCAGUGGCGAAGGCGGCUCACUGGCCCGGUACUGACGCUGAGGUGCGAAAGCGUGGGGAGCAAACAGG
rnacentral:rRNA from 1 species